CAAAGAAAAAGAGAGUGGAGAUUUCUGGGCAAAUGGCUGGGGACUGUGGUAUCCCAGUGACAUGACCUCAGCUUGUUCUCAUAAUUAUCUUCCGAAGCAGUGAGAGGACAAGCUGAGUGUCCCUGUCACAUACUGGUCCAGAGUUUCCGUGGUGGAGGCAGCACUCGUGUAGGCACUUGGUGUUACAGACAACCUCUGGCCCGUGGAAGCUUUCCUGGAAUCAGACAGAAAAGACGAGUCUACAGAACCUCAGCAAUGGAAGAUAGCUAGCUGAGUUCUACCUUCUAAGACUGACUGACUAGUUCAG
rnacentral:lncRNA from 1 species